rnacentral:rRNA from 1 species
GGGGGACCUUCGGGCCUCAUGCCAUCAGAUGUGCCCAGAUGGGAUUAGCUAGUAGGUGGGGUAACGGCUCACCUAGGCGACGUCCCUAGCUGGUCUGAGAGGAUGACCAGCCACACUGGAACUGAGACACGGUCCAGACUCCUACGGGAGGCAGCAGUGGGGAAUAUUGCACAAUGGGCGCAAGCCUGAUGCAGCCAUGCCGCGUGUGUGAAGAAGGCCUCGGGUUGUAAAGCACUUUCAGCGGGGAGGAAGGCG